rnacentral:rRNA from 1 species
CAAUAGCGUAUAUUAAAGUUGUUGCGGUUAAAAAGCUCGUAGUUGGAUUUCUGCUGAGAACGACCGGUCCGCCCUUUGGGUGUGUAUCUGGCUCUUUCUUGGCAUCUUCUUGGUGAACGUUGCUGCACUUGACUGUGUGGAGCGCUACCCAGGACUUUUACUUUGAGGAAAUUAGAGUGUUUCAAGCAGGCAUACGCCUUGAAUACAUUAGCAUGGAAUAAUAAGAUAGGACCUCGGUUCUAUUUUGUUGGUUUCUAGAGCUGAGGUAAUGAUUAAUAGGGAUAGUUGGGGGCAUCCGAAUUUAGCCGUCAGAGGUGAAAUUCUUGGAUCAGCUAAAGACGGACGACUGCGAAAGCGUUUGCCCAAGAUGUUUUCAUUGA